GCCCGGCUGGCUCAGUUGGUAGAGCAUGCGACUCUUGAUCUCAGGGUUGUGGGUUUCAGCCCCACAUUGGGUG
rnacentral:tRNA from 1 species